rnacentral:rRNA from 1 species
GAUGAACGCUGGCGGCGUGCCUAAUACAUGCAAGUCGAGCGAACGGACGAGAAGCUUGCUUCUCUGAUGUUAGCGGCGGACGGGUGAGUAACACGUGGAUAACCUACCUAUAAGACUGGGAUAACUUCGGGAAACCGGAGCUAAUACCGGAUAAUAUUUUGAACCGCAUGGUUCAAAAGUGAAAGGCGGUCUUGCUGUCACUUAUAGAUGGAUCCUCGCUGCAUUAGCUAGUUGGUAAGGUAACGGCUUACCAAGGCAACGAUGCAUAGCCGACCUGAGAGGGUGAUCGGCCACACUGGAACUGAGACACGGUCCAGACUCCUACGGGAGGCAGCAGUAGGGAAUCUUCCGCAAUGGGCGAAAGCCUGACGGAGCAACGCCGCGUGAGUGAUGAAGGUCUUCGGAUCGUAAAACUCUGUUAUUAGGGAAGAACAUAUGUGUAAGUAACUGUGCACAUCUUGACGGUACCUAAUCAGAAAGCCACGGCUAACUACGUG